rnacentral:lncRNA from 1 species
AACACAUUCAUUCUGUGUCAGAAACCUAUGCUGUGUCAACUAUUUAAUCACAAUCCAAAUUUAGAGCUGAAUCCAGCUUGAAUGUUGUGUCCAUACUUGCCCCAACCGUUCAGGGUUCAAUCUCUGCGGUCGUAUAAAGCUACGCCCUGCGGAGCAUCUGGUUAUCUUUUCAUAGUGAUCAGGAGCUACUAAAUAUCAGAAAGCCCCCAAAAGAAUAAAACCAACACAAUCUUUUAGAUGGACAAACAUGUACAUGUAACAACCAUCACUGGCACUGAACUAAAAUUGGAAGACCUGUGUGAAUUUAAGUGAUAUGGACCAAUAUAACAACCACUUUUAGAGAACACUGCCACAUACAAAGCAGCAUAAUAGGGGGCAGUUGUCUAGUACCAAAUACCAAAUAUAGGGAUUUGAAGCAAACCUACAUGUAUGCUGCUUCUCCACACAGCCAAAACAAACACAC